rnacentral:rRNA from 1 species
AUUGAACGCUGGCGGCAUGCCUUACACAUGCAAGUCGAACGGCAGCACGGGUGCUUGCACCUGGUGGCGAGUGGCGAACGGGUGAGUAAUACAUCGGAACGUACCUUAUCGUGGGGGAUAACGCAGCGAAAGCUGUGCUAAUACCGCAUACGCCCUGAGGGGGAAAGCGGCGGAUCGAAAGACCUCGCGCGAUUAGAGCGGCCGAUGCCUGAUUCGCUUGUUGGUGGGGUAAAAGCCCACCAAGGCGACGAUCAGUAGCUGGUCUGAGAGGACGAUCAGCCACACUGGGACUGAGACACGGCCCAGACUCCUACGGGAGGCAGCAGUGGGGAAUUUUGGACAAUGGGGGCAACCCUGAUCCAGCAAUGCCGCGUGAGUGAAGAAGGCCUUCGGGUUGUAAAGCUCUUUUGUCAGGGAAGAAACACCGGCUCUAACACAGUCCGGGAAUGACGGUACCUGAAGAAUAAGCACCGGCUAACUACGUGCCAGCAGCCGCCGUAA